CAGUUGAAAUAUAAAUUGCUUUGCCCCGCCCCUGCCAACGUCCCGGUAAUAUGCGGUUUUCUUCCCCUAAAUUCAAAUUCUCACCUUCUUCCCUUACCGCGAAAAUCGAAUCCAAGGUGUCCAUCCAAACACCAUCUCUAUCAAGAGCAUCCGAACAGCACUGCCUAUCCCUCCUCCAAGCCUGCAACUCCUUCUCAAACCUCCUCCAAAUUCAUUCCCACAUCCUCAAAUCCGGCCUCAAUUCCAACCCCUUUGUACUCACAAAACUCAUCUCCACAGCUUCUUCUCUCAACGCCAUUGAUUAUGCCUCUUCCGUCGUUUUCUCUAACUGCGACAACAUUACUCGCAUUUUCGAUACUUUUUUAUUCAAUACUCUCAUCCGUGGCUACGCGCAUUCCACAGUUGCUAAAAUCAACGGUGUCGCUGCGUUCUCUUUUAUGCUUCGAAAUGCCAUCUUCCCCAAUAAAUUCACCUUCCCUUUCGUUCUAAAAGCCUGCGCGGGCCUUGGUGAUUUGAAUCUUGGCAAGCAAGUUCAUGGGUCUGUAGUGAAAUUUGGUUUUGAGGCUGAUCUUUAUGUUCAAAAUACGUUGGUUCAUGCGUAUUCUAGCUGUGGUGGGGGCAUUGAGCUUGCUCGGGAGGUGUUCGAUGGAAUGCCCAAGUCGGACCCAGUAUGUUGGAGUGCUAUGAUUGGUGGGUAUGUUCGGUUGGGUCGGUGUAAUGAUGCAGUUGUGCUCUUUAGAGAGAUGCAGAUUGAAGGUGUCAAGCCUGAUGAGGUUACUGUGGUGACGGUUCUUUCAGCUUGUGCUGAUAUGGGAGCGCUCGAGCUUGGGAAGUGGAUUGGGAUUUACGUUGAAAAGGAAGGGAUUGCAAAGACGGUGCCAUUGUGCAAUGCACUCAUUGAUAUGUUUGCCAAGUGCGGCAGCAUUGAUGAUGCCUUGAGGCUGUUCGGUGAAAUGCCGGAGAGAAGCAUCGUGUCUUGGACAUCAAUCAUUGACGGUCUUGCCAUGCAUGGCCAUGGGAGAGAAGCCAUCGCCCUGUUUGAGGAGAUGAAGAGUGUAGGUGUCAUCCCUGAUGAUGUUGUGUUUAUUGGUGUGCUCUCUGCUUGCAGCCAUGCUGGAAUGGUCGAAAAAGGAUGUCACUACUUUGACUCGAUGAGGAACGAAUUCACCAUUAUCCCAAAGAUCGAGCACUAUGGGUGUAUGGUCGAUCUUUUCAGCCGAGCUGGGCUUGUCAAACGUGCACUAGAGUUCGUACAGGAUAUGCCAAUGGAGCCCAAUCCAGUAAUCUGGCGAACACUGAUCAGCGCUUGUCGGGCCCAUGGAGAGCUUGAGCUGAGUGAAAGCAUCACAAAACAGCUUAUCGGAGCUGAACCCAUGCAUGGGUCGAACUAUGUCUUGUUGUCGAACAUAUAUGCAUCGAUGCAUGGGUGGGAAAAGAAAUCGAAGAUCAGAUAUUUGAUGGGUGAGAGAGGGAUUAGGAAGGUUCCCGGGUGCAGCUUGAUUGAGCUCGAUAGCAAGAUUUACGAAUUUGUGGCGGGGGAUAAAUCUCAUGAGAAGUAUAAAGAGAUCUAUGAAAUGGUGGAGGAGAUGGGGAGGGAGUUGCGGAUUGCCGGAUAUGUUCCUACAACAUCGGAGGUGUUACUUGACAUCGACGAGGAAGAUAAGGAAGAUACAUUGUAUAAACACAGUGAGAAGCUAGCAAUUGCUUUCGCACUUUUGAAUACAAAGCCAGGGACACUGAUUAGGAUUGUGAAGAACUUGCGCAUUUGUAGUGAUUGUCAUUCUGCGAUCAAGUUCAUCUCGAAGGUCUAUAAUAGGGAGAUAGUGGUCAGGGAUCGGAACCGUUUUCAUCUGUUCAAAGAUGGGGAAUGCUCAUGCAAGGGUUAUUGGUGAGAGGUGUUUGAUGAAAGCCUCAAAGAUAGGCAAAAGGAAGCUGCCUCAAGACCAAGUAACAUAACAUCGAUUAUGAAAAGGAUCAUACCACAUCAGACGGUCAGCUGAUCACAUUACCUAGGCCUGGAAAUCAGACUAGUGUAUGCAUGUGUAUAUUGGACCAAUCUUCACACUCUUCAACACCCAGACCAAAGAUACAACAGCUCCAAUUUAAAUUGGAAAGUCUAAGGUGACAUAAGAUCGGAAAGUCUAAGUUUCAACUCAGGUUGGAUGUUAGAAAUGAAUGAUAGCCCAGAAACUUACCCAUUAGAUGAGUAGUCUAGCAUGGUAUGUGCACCAUGGAACCUUCAGAUGGACAUUUGUGUAAUAUAUGUUCUUCAAAUGACCAAAUGCAGGCAGUCUUCUGUUCUUCUUACCUUUGUGGUUAAAAACUA